CGCGUAGGCGGUCUGAUAAGUCAGAUGUGAAAGCCCACGGCUCAACCGUGGACAGUCAUUUGAUACUGUUGGGCUUGAGUGCGAGAGGGGGUAGUGGAAUUCCCGGUGUAGCGGUGAAAUGCGUAGAUAUUGGGAAGAACACCAGUAGCGAAGGCGGCUACCUGGCUCGCAACUGACGCUGAUGCGCGAAAGCGUGGGGAGCAAACA
rnacentral:rRNA from 1 species